rnacentral:rRNA from 1 species
AUUGAACGCUGGCGGCAGGCCUAACACAUGCAAGUCGAACGGUAACAGGAAGAAGCUUGCUUCUUUGCUGACGAGUGGCGGACGGGUGAGUAAUGUCUGGGAAACUGCCUGAUGGAGGGGGAUAACUACUGGAAACGGUAGCUAAUACCGCAUAACGUCGCAAGACCAAAGAGGGGGACCUUCGGGCCUCUUGCCAUCGGAUGUGCCCAGAUGGGAUUAGCUAGUAGGUGGGGUAACGGCUCACCUAGGCGACGAUCCCUAGCUGGUCUGAGAGGAUGACCAGCCACACUGGAACUGAGACACGGUCCAGACUCCUACGGGAGGCAGCAGUGGGGAACAUUGCACAAUGGGCGCAAGCCUGAUGCAGCCAUGCCGCGUGUAUGAAGAAGGCCUUCGGGUUGUAAAGUACUUUCAGCGGGGAGGAAGGGAGUAAAGUUAAUACCUUUGCUCAUUGACGUUACCCGCAGAAGAAGCACCGGCUAACUCCGUG